GCGCAGCAGGCGCGAAACUUUACAAUGUGCGAAAGCACGAUAAGGGAACUCUGAGUGCCUCCUAAGGAGGCUGUUCAGGUGUCUAAAAGCACCUGAAGGAAGGGCUGGGUAAGACCGGUGCCAGCCGCCGCGGUAACACCGGCAGCCCAAGUGGUAGCCACGUUUAUUGGGUCUAAAGCGUCCGUAGCCGGCUGGGUAAGUUCCUUGGGAAAUUUGGCUGCUUAACAGUCAAGCUUUCAGGGAAUACUGCCCGGCUUGGGACCGGGAGAGGUCAGAGGUACUCCAGGGGUAGGGGUGAAAUCCAUUAAUCCUUGGGGGACCACCGGUAGCGAAGGCGUCUGACCAGACCGGGUCCGACGGUGAGGGACGAAGGCUAGGGGCGCGAACCGGAUUAGAUACCCGUGUAGU
rnacentral:rRNA from 1 species